AUUGAACGCUGGCGGCAUGCCUUACACAUGCAAGUCGAACGGCAGCAUGGAAGAGCUUGCUCUUCUGAUGGCGAGUGGCGAACGGGUGAGUAAAGCAUCGGAACGUACCGUGUAGUGGGGGAUAACGUAGCGAAAGUUACGCUAAUACCGCAUACGCACUGAGGUGGAAAGCAGGGGAUCGCAAGACCUUGCGCUAUACGAGCGGCCGAUGUCAGAUGAGCUAGUUGGUAGGGUAAAGGCCUACCAAGGCGACGAUCUGUAGCGGGUCUGAGAGGAUGAUCCGCCACACUGGGACUGAGACACGGCCCAGACUCCUACGGGAGUCAGCAGUGGGGAAUUUUGGACAAUGGGCGAAAGCCUGAUCCAGCCAUGCCGCGUGAGUGAAGAAGGCCUUCGGGUUGUAAAGCUCUUUCGGCUGGGAAGAAAUCGCACAGGCUAAUACUCUGUGUGGAUGACGGUACCAGCACAAGAAGCACCGGCUAACUACGUGCCAGCCGCCGCCGUAA
rnacentral:rRNA from 1 species